AGUACACCUUACUUGGCCAUUCAGAUCUAGAUGGGACCAGAACGCAGAGCUUUUGAUCAGAGGCAGUGACAAUACCCACUUGCUUUUUGGCUUUGUCUUGUAUCUACCUCUGCCAAUAUCGUACGCUUUCUACUUACUCUCUUCCCAUGAACUCAACAACUUGGUGACGAAAAAUUGUCGAAACAAAAUUAUUGAAUCAAGAACCCCCAAACACUCUGUGGCCUAAAGAAGAGGUUUGGAGGAAGGAGAGAUAACUCCCUAACAAUCCAUCAUCAACUGCAAAAACAUCACUGAGUGGUCUCACUGCUGGCAAAGGCUAGCCCCAGGCCGACUUACCCACCCCCGACUUUGGAGUUUAAAGUCUGCAAAAGAAGGAUUUGCUCACUCGGUGUACUGAAAAGGCCAAUUAACCAGCAAACCAAUCAGGGAG